rnacentral:rRNA from 1 species
AGUGAACGCUGGCGGUAGGCCUAACACAUGCAAGUCGAACGGCAGCACAGGAGAGCUUGCUCUCUGGGUGGCGAGUGGCGGACGGGUGAGGAAUACAUCGGAAUCUACUCUGUCGUGGGGGAUAACGUAGGGAAACCUACGCUAAUACCGCAUACGACCUACGGGUGAAAGCAGGGGAUCUUCGGGCCUUGCGCGAUUGAAUGAGCCGAUGUCGGACUAGCUAGUUGGCGGGGUAAAGGCCCACCAAGGCGACGAUCCGUAGCUGGUCUGAGAGGGUGAUCAGCCACACUGGAACUGAGACACGGUCCAGACUCCUACGGGAGGCAGCAGUGGGGAAUAUUGGACAAUGGGCGCAAGCCUGAUCCAGCCAUACCGCGUGGGUGAAGAAGGCCUUCGGGUUGUAAAGCCCUUUUGUUGGGAAAGAAAUCCAGCUGGCUAAUACCCGGUUGGGAUGACGGUACCCAAAGAAUAAGCACCGGCUAACUUCGUGCCAGCAGCCGCCGUAA